rnacentral:rRNA from 1 species
GUGGACGGGGGCCCGCACAAGCGGCGGAGCAUGUGGAUUAAUUCGAUGCAACGCGAAGAACCUUACCAAGGCUUGACAUACACCGAAAACUUUCAGAGAUGAGUGCUCCGCAAGGUCGGUAUACAGGUGGUGCAUGGUUGUCGUCAGCUCGUGUCGUGAGAUGUUGGGUUAAGUCCCGCAACGAGCGCAACCCUCGUUCUAUGUGCCAGCG